rnacentral:rRNA from 1 species
AUGUUUCUUUCUGCUCAUGCUAUGGGUCAACAACUGGCCGUACCCACACCCACCAUUGUUAUACACAUCAAUGGCAAACGAGCUAUUGCUCUUCUGGAUUCGGGCAGUACAACCUCCUUCAUCAAUCCACAGUUUGCAGCUAAAGCUAACUGCAAUAUACUGCCUGUUAAACCGAGAGCCAUUGUUGUAGCUAGUGGGGCACGCCUACUAUCUACGGCUGUGGUCCCUAAUUGUGAGUUUCUAGUUGCCAAAACAAGGAUAUAUCACAAUUUCAGAACCCUGGAAUUGCCCGGCCAUGAUGUGAUCUUGGGCUACGAUUGGUUUACUGCUGUUAGUCCUGUAGCUUUUGACAUUCCCAAGCAACAAUUCAGUUUCACACAAAAAGGGCAACAGACAAUGACUGCAGCUAUUUUCACCAAUUCCCAGACCACUAAGGAAGUACCAGCAGAGGAUGUGAACAAGUUAAUGGAUAAAGGAGCAGAAGUAUUCUUAUUGCAAGUGCAUAAUAUACUCAUGGAAGCUCUAGAAGGGACCAAAACACCUCCACAAAUACAACAACUACUCCUGACAUAUGCUGAUUUAUUUGAGGAACCUACUGAACUCCCACCUCAUAGAGCAUUGGAUCACAAAAUUCCUUUGGUACGAGGAGCAAAUCCUCCACAAUUGAGACCUUAUAGAGUUCCACAACAUCAAAAGAGAGAAAUGGAAGAGCAGAUAAAAAAGUUGUUGGCCAACCAUUUGAUUAGACAUAGCCAAAGUCCUUAUGCUGCUCCAAUCCUGUUGGUCAAAAAGAAGGACAACUCUAUGAGGUUAUGCACUGAUUUCAGAAAGCUAAACUCCCUGACAAUCAAAAAUAAAUUCCCUAUUCCAGUUAUAGAGGAUUUAUUGGAUGAAUUGCAUGGAGAAAAAUAUUUUUCUAAAUUGGACCUGAGAUCUGGGUACCACCAAAUAAGAAUGCACCCAGAUGAUAUUCACAAAACUGCUUUCAGGACUUAUUUGGGGCAUUUUGAAUAUUUAGUCAUGCCUUUUGGGCUGUCUAAUGCCCCAGGCACAUUCCAAGAGUUAAUGAAUACAAUAUUUGCUCCAUAUUUGAGAAAGUUUGUGUUGGUUUUCUUUGAUGAUAUCCUCAUCUACAGCAGAACCCUCAAGGAACAUCUGGAACAUAUCAAGGUUGUAUUACAAGUGUUAAGAGAUAACAAAUUGUUUGCAAAAAAAAUCCAAGUGCAGCUUUGCAGUGCAAAAAGUGGAAUAUCUGGGUCAUGUGAUAUCUGA